rnacentral:rRNA from 1 species
UACGUAGGGCGCAAGCGUUGUCCGGAAUUAUUGGGCGUAAAGAGCUCGUAGGCGGCUUGUCGCGUCUGCUGUGAAAGCCCGGGGCUUAACUCCGGGUGUGCAGUGGGUACGGGCAGGCUAGAGUGCAGUAGGGGUAACUGGAAUUCCUGGUGUAGCGGUGAAAUGCGCAGAUAUCAGGGGGAACACCGAUGGCGAAGGCAGGUUACUGGGCUGUUACUGACGCUGAGGAGCGAAAGCAUGGGGAGCGAACAGG